rfam:Glycine soja cultivar W05 scaffold717_44, whole genome shotgun sequence.
GGCUCAGUGAUUUUCUGCCAUUGUUGCAGUAUACGCUAUUCCGACUCAAUAUGUGAGUAGAGAUAUCAUCAUAGAUGAGAGCC